rnacentral:rRNA from 1 species
UACGGGGGGAGCAAGCGUUGUUCGGAUUUACUGGGCGUAAAGGGCGCGUAGGCGGUCAGCACAAGUCAGUUGUGAAAUCUCCGGGCUUAACUCGGAAAGGUCAACUGAUACUGUGACGACUAGAGUGCAGAAGGGGCAACUGGGAAUUCUCGGUGUAGCGGUGAAAUGACGUAGAUAUCGAGAGGAACACCUGCGGCGAAGGCGGGUUGCUGGGCUGACACUGACGCUGAUGCGCGAAAGCCAGGGAGCGAACGGG